rnacentral:rRNA from 1 species
GGUCAAGCGAACAAGUGCAUGUGGUGGAUGCCUUGGCGAUCACAGGCGAUGAAGGACGCGGUAGCCUGCGAAAAGCCCCGGGGAGCUGGCAAACAAGCUUUGAUCCGGGGAUGUCCGAAUGGGGAAACCCACUCCGUAUGGAGUAUCCAUGACUGAAUACAUAGGUCAUGUGAAGCGAACGCGGUGAACUGAAACAUCUAAGUAACCGCAGGAAAAGAAAUCAACCGAGAUUCCCAAAGUAGUGGCGAGCGAAAUGGGAUGAGCCUUGUACUCUUUAUUUGUAUUGUUAGCCGAACGCUCUGGAAAGUGCGGCCAUAGCAGGUGAUAGCCCUGUAGGCGAAAACAGUAUGAAAGAACUAGGUGUACGACAAGUAGGGCGGGACACGUGAAAUCCUGUCUGAAGAUGGGGGGACCAUCCUCCAAGGCUAAAUACUCGUGAUCGACCGAUAGUGAACCAGUACCGUGAGGGAAAGGCGAAAAGAACCCCGGGAGGGGAGUGAAAUAGAUCCUGAAACCGCAUGCAUACAAACAGUCGGAGCCUCGUAAGGGGUGACGGCGUACCUUUUGUAUAAUGGGUCAGCGACUUACGUUCAGUAGCAAGCUUAACCGUAUAGGGCAGGCGUAGCGAAAGCGAGUCCGAAUAGGGCGUUCAGUUGCUGGGCGUAGACCCGAAACCAGGUGAUCUAUCCAUGGCCAGGAUGAAGGUGCGGUAACACGUACUGGAGGUCCGAACCCACUAACGUUGAAAAGUUAGGGGAUGAGCUGUGGAUAGGGGUGAAAGGCUAAACAAACCUGGAAAUAGCUGGUUCUCUCCGAAAACUAUUUAGGUAGUGCCUCGUGUCUCACCUUCGGGGGUAGAGCACUGUCAUGGUUGGGGGGUCUAUUGCAGAUUACCCCGCCAUAGCAAACUCCGAAUACCGAAGAGUGCAAUCACGGGAGACAGACAUCGGGUGCUAACGUCCGGUGUCAAGAGGGAAACAACCCAGACCGCCAGCUAAGGUCCCCAAAUAUGGCUAAGUGGGAAACGAAGUGGGAAGGCUAAAACAGUCAGGAGGUUGGCUUAGAAGCAGCCACCCUUUAAAGAAAGCGUAAUAGCUCACUGAUCGAGUCGUCCUGCGCGGAAGAUGUAACGGGGCUAAGCCAUAUACCGAAGCUGCGGAUGCGAGCUUGCUCGCAUGGUAGGAGAGCGUUCCGUAAGCCUGCGAAGGUGCCUUGUAAAGGGUGCUGGAGGUAUCGGAAGUGCGAAUGCUGACAUGAGUAGCGAUAAAGGGGGUGAAAGGCCCCCUCGCCGUAAGCCCAAGGUUUCCUACGCAACGUUCAUCGGCGUAGGGUGAGUCGGCCCCUAAGGCGAGGCAGAAAUGCGUAGCUGAUGGGAAGCAGGUCAAUAUUCCUGCACCAUUGUUAGAUGCGAUGGGGGGACGGAUCGCGGAAGGUUGUCCGGGUGUUGGACGUCCCGGUCGCUGCAUUGGAGAAGGCGCUUAGGUAAAUCCGGGCGCAGGAUUCAAGGGUGUGGCGCGAGCGACUUCGGUCGCGAAGCAAUUGGAAGUGGUUCCAAGAAAAGCCUCUAAGCUUCAGUCUAACGAUGACCGUACCGCAAACCGACACAGGUGGGCGAGAUGAGUAUUCUAAGGCGCUUGAGAGAACUCGGGAGAAGGAACUCGGCAAAUUGGUACCGUAACUUCGGGAUAAGGUACGCCCUUGUAGCUUGACCAGCCUGCGCUGGAAGGGUGAAGGGGUUGCAAUAAACUGGUGGCUGCGACUGUUUAAUAAAAACACAGCACUCUGCAAACACGAAAGUGGACGUAUAGGGUGUGACGCCUGCCCGGUGCCGGAAGAUUAAAUGAUGGGGUGCAAGCUCUUGAUUGAAGUCCCGGUAAACGGCGGCCGUAACUAUAACGGUCCUAAGGUAGCGAAAUUCCUUGUCGGGUAAGUUCCGACCUGCACGAAUGGCGUAACGAUGGCCACACUGUCUCCUCCCGAGACUCAGCGAAGUUGAAGUGUUUGUGAUGAUGCAAUCUACCCGCGGCUAGACGGAAAGACCCCAUGAACCUUUACUGUAGCUUUGCAUUGGACUUUGAACCGAUCUGUGUAGGAUAGGUGGGAGGCUAUGAAACCGGAACGCUAGUUUCGGUGGAGCCGUCCUUGAAAUACCACCCUGGUUUGUUUGAGGUUCUAACCUUGGUCCGUGAUCCGGAUCGGGGACAGUGCAUGGUAGGCAGUUUGACUGGGGCGGUCUCCUCCCAAAGGGUAACGGAGGAGUACGAAGGUACGCUAGGUACGGUCGGAAAUCGUGCUGAUAGUGCAAUGGCAUAAGCGUGCUUAACUGCGAGACCGACAAGUCGAGCAGGUGCGAAAGCAGGUCAUAGUGAUCCGGUGGUUCUGUAUGGAAGGGCCAUCGCUCAACGGAUAAAAGGUACUCUGGGGAUAACAGGCUGAUACCGCCCAAGAGUUCAUAUCGACGGCGGUGUUUGGCACCUCGAUGUCGGCUCAUCUCAUCCUGGGGCUGUAGCCGGUCCCAAGGGUAUGGCUGUUCGCCAUUUAAAGAGGUACGUGAGCUGGGUUUAAAACGUCGUGAGACAGUUUGGUCCCUAUCUGCCGUGGGCGUUGGAUAUUUGAAGGGGGCUGCUCCUAGUACGAGAGGACCGGAGUGGACGAACCUCUGGUGUACCGGUUGUGACGCCAGUCGCAUCGCCGGGUAGCUAUGUUCGGAAGAGAUAACCGCUGAAAGCAUCUAAGCGGGAAACUCGCCUUAAGAUGAGAUAUCCCUGGAGGCUUGACCUCCUUGAAGGGUCGUUCGAGACCAGGACGUUGAUAGGUCGGGUGUGUAAGCGCAGUAAUGCGUUCAGCUAACCGAUACUAAUUGCCCGUAAGGCUUGAUCCU